CCCCGCCCAAGCCCUCUGGCCCAGGGCACAGUUCCGCACCCGCAGCACGCCGAUGACGUCGCCAGCCUCGUCUAGCUCCAUGUCGCCCUCGGUCGCCAGGAUUCGCUGUACUGUCUGCAAGACGUUGGUUGCCAUGGUGACGUCCCCACAGACAAACAUGUGGCCCCGCUCGAGGCACAGCACGCGGUGCACUUCAGCAGCUAGCUCAGUCCUCAGGAUGUCCUGCACGUAGGUCUGAGGGGAGGUCCUGUGUCCUACCCAGGGCUCUACCUGGCUGAGGGCCUCUAGCUCCUGCUGUUCGCUGGACUCUUCAGCCAGGGUGCUGAGCAGUUGCAGGAGGCGUGGGCUGGGCGGAGAGGUGAUGUCCAGGAAGAAGGUGGCCACAGGAGCCAUCGAGGCUGAGGUCGUUCCUGUGGGUGCACAGCUCUGGUGGCAGGAGGGAGGUUGAGGCCCGUGUAUGCCUUGGUUUCCCCCACAGUGACAUCUCUGGAUUCCGGUGGAGGUGAGAUGAGGAGCCAUCCUCCCAGCCAUGGACCCAGACCUGCUGAGUUCAAACCUGAAGGAGGGAUGGAUGGUCCUCCUGCACUGGAUUGAGUAGCAUGUGGCCCGCCUGACCAGUUCCAGGUGGAAUUGCCAGAUCGGAAGUGCUGUCCCGUGUGGAAGCUCAGGCUUAUAGUCACAGUCCCUGGGACCCUCCACUGGCCAGGAGCAUCCCUGCAGGCCAGGCAGUGCUCCCUGGCCUGGCCUCUGAAAGCCUGAAGUCUUGUGCUGGCUUCACUUUCAGCCUUCACCUUCACCCUUUCUCUUUCGUGCCAUCCUGCCUGCCCUCCCUUUGUGGGCUCACUCAUGGGGCCCAGCCCAUGCCUGGCUGAGUGUGCCCUCCUGCCAGGCCCUGUCUGCUAUCUGUGGGCCACACUUUUGCCUGGGCACCAUACUUCUUGUUAAUAGAGCACAUUGUCCACUACUUGGGACUGAGCCCAGAGGGCUGGCUGAGCCAUGGUGAUACGAAGGUGGAUUAUGGAAGGAACGGAAAGGGUCCAGAGAACCACACAGGACCAGGGAGGCAGUAAGCUUCCAGUCUUAUCACUGCAGUCCCGGCAGUGAAGAUGUGGAGGCCAGGCCUCAGCUUGGUGAGAGGUGGCAUGUGGGUUGCAGGGCUUGACAGGGUCAGGGGCUAGGGACAUCAGGGACUCACCUGGAAGGCGGCCUGGGCCCAGCCACGGAAGGCCUCCUCCUGGCCACACAGCUCGUCGCCCUGGCCCAGCUGCAGUAGACGCUCCCCCACCCAGCUCCUCCAGCCUUGUGUCCACUGCCCGGGCAAAGGCGCAGAAGUGUGGGUAUGCCCGGGAGCCCAGCCCGAAUACACAAAACCUGGGGUAUAGGGAGUUGCUGCUGGAGCUGCCCAUGCCAGGCCUUGUAUGCUUGGGCAGCUUGCCCCCAUGCACCCCUUUUGGUGAGGACUCCCAACCUGAGGGUGCCCAGGGCCCCUGCGCUGUCUGUGUUACUGGACUCCUUCCUCUUCCGCCGCCAAGAGGACACCAGCGGGUCUGUGCAGGACACACUGUUGAAACGGAUUUUGUAGCUCCUGCCAAGAGAGGGGGAAGACAAGGGUGUCACAGG
ensembl:lncRNA